UUCAGGGUAUUUCUAUUGUACAGCAGCAGAAAUACGUUGAGCUCGUCCUUGUUGCUGAUAACCGCGCGUAUGUGAAGAUGAACAGGGAUCAAAAGAAGAUGAGACAGAGAAUAUUUGAGAUUGUCAACAUGGUCUACAAACCUCUGAGGACCUUUAUUGCUCUGGUGGGGUUGGAGAUAUGGACGAAUGGUGACCUGAUCUCUGUGACCCCCCCAGCAGGAGCAAACCUGGAUGCUUUCAUGA